AUGAAGAAGGGCCCGGACUUCUCCCUCACUACACUCCCAGCCCAUGUUCAAAGCCUAGUUUUUAGCUACAUGGUCUUUCCUCCUUCCCUCCUUCCUUCCUCCUUCCUUCCUCCCUCCCUCCCUCCCUCCCUUCCUUCCUUCCUUCCUUCCUUCCUUCCUUCCUCCCUCCCUCCCUCCCUCCCUUCCUUCUCUCCUCCUCUCCUUCCUUCCUUCCCUCCUUCUCUCCUCCUCCUCUCCUUUCUUCCUCCCUCCCUCCCUUCCUUCCUUCUUUCUUUCCUCCUCUCCUUCCUUCCUUCUCUCCUCCUCUCCUUCCUUCCCUCCUUCUCUCCUUCCUUCCUUCCUUCCCUCCUUCUUUCCUCCUCUCCUUCCUCCCUUCCUUCCUUUCUUCCCUCCUCUCCUUCCUUCCUUCCUUCUCUUUCCUUCCUUCCUCCCUCCCUUCCUUCCUUCCUCCUUCCUUCCUUCCUCCUCCUCCCUUCCUUCCUUCCUUCCUUCCCUCCUUCUCCUUCCUUCCUCCCUCCCUUCCUUCCUUCUCUCCUCCUCUCCUUCCUUCCUUCCUUCCUUCCUUCCUUCCUCCCUCCCUCCCUUCCUUCUCUCCUCCUUCCUUCCUUCCUUCUCUCCUUCCUUCCUUCCCUCCUUCUCUCCUCCUCCUCUCCUUUCUUCCUCCCUCCCUUCCUUCCUUCUUUCUUUCCUCCUCUCCUUCCUUCCUUCCUUCUCUCCUCCUCUCCUUCCUUCCUUCUCUCCUUCCUUCCUUCCCUCCUUCUCUCCUUCCUUCCCUCCUUCUAUCCUCCUCUUCUCCUUUCUUCCUCCCUUCCUUCCUUCCCUCCUUCCUUCCUCCUCUUCUCCUUCCUUGCUUCCCUCCUUCUCUCCUCCCUUCCUUCUCUCCUAUUCCCCUUCCUUCCUUCCUUUCUUCCCUCCUCUCCUUCCUUCCUUCCCUCCUUCCCUUCUCUCCUUCCUUCCCUCCUCCUCUCCUCUUCCCCUUCCUUCCUCCCUUCCUUCCUUCCUUCCCUCCUCCUCUCCUCUUCCCCUUCCUUCCUCCCUUCCUUCCUUCCCUCCUUCUCUUUCCUUCCUUCCCUCCUUCUCUCCUCCUCCCCUUCCUUCCUUCCCUCCUUCUCUCCUCUUCCCCUUCCUUCCUUCCUUCCUUCCUUCCUUCCUUCCUUCCUUCCUUCCUUCCCUUCUUCUCUCCUUCCUUCCUCCUUCCCUCCCUCCCUUCUUUUUGAGCUAAACACACCUCUUGACUCUUCCUUCAGCCUGAACUGA
rnacentral:lncRNA from 1 species